rnacentral:rRNA from 1 species
GACGAACGCUGGCGGCGUGCUUAACACAUGCAAGUCGAACGGUAAGGCCUUUCGGGGUACACGAGUGGCGAACGGGUGCGUAACACGUGGGUGAUCUGCCCUGCACUUCGGGAUAAGCCCGGGAAACUGGGUCUAAUACCGGAUAGGACUGCGCGGUGCAUGCCGUGUGGUGGGAAGAUUUAUCGGUGCAGGAUGGGCCCGCGGCCUAUCAGCUUGUUGGUGGGGUAAUGGCCUACCAAGGCGACGACGGGUAGCCGGCCUGAGAGGGCGACCGGCCACACUGGGACUGAGACACGGCCCAGACUCCUACGGGAGGCAGCAGUGGGGAAUAUUGCACAAUGGGCGCAAGCCUGAUGCAGCGACGCCGCGUGAGGGAUGACGGCCUUCGGGUUGUAAACCUCUUUCAGCAGGGACGAAGCGUGAGUGACGGUACCUGCAGAAGAAGCACCGGCCAACUACGUG